CACACCCUGUAUUUGUAUUUUUCAUUUCAUGGUAGCCUAUAUUAGGUCUAUCCACCUUAUUCCUAAUUUAAAAAGAACUAACAGCAACAGAAAAGUCAUGGACAGCCGAGGUCGGACAACUCUAUCAAGAGCUUUGAUUUCAACCACAGUCGAAAUCCAGUGAACGUCACUCUGAUUGGCUGAGGCAACAUAUCAUCAUAACCCAACCUGUAAAGCCAGCCACUCUGAUAGGCCGAGGCAACAUGCGAGCCAUGUGGCGCGAGCGGCGCGAUUCAGCGUGUUUUUCACAUGGUUGGUUUUUCAAGCAGAAAAUAACGGCACAGAUAUUCAGCCUACAUCGCCGUCAUGAUCACUGGUGAACCCAUCUCCUCUAAAUUGAAGGUGCUGUAAGGAGUGAGGUACCCUUCCCUGAUAGGAGAAAAAACACCUAAACAAGGUAUAACCAUAUGGAACUAAUAAAUCCAUGAAGACCGAUCCCGUAGUGAUGCCCCCAGUCCCCCGCCCAGGUCCAGACAUGAUAAAAGAGUACAGCGCAGUGAUCUCAGCACAUGACAGGCACGGUG